UACAGAGGUCUCAAGCGUUGUUCGGAUUCAUUGGGCGUAAAGGGUGCGUAGGCGGCGCGGUAAGUCGGGUGUGAAAUCUCGGAGCUUAACUCCGAAACUGCAUUAGAAACUACAGGGCUAGAGGCUUGGAGGGGGAACUGGAAUUCUCGGUGUAGCAGUGAAAUGCGUAGAGAUCGAGAGGAACACCAGUGGCGAAGGCGAGUUCCUGGACAAGUCCUGACGCUGAGGCACGAAAGCCAGGGGAGCAAACAGG
rnacentral:rRNA from 1 species